CCCCGCGCCCGCACUCCGGGGCGCCCCCGCUCCCGCCGCCGUCCCGCCGAGGCCGCCCCCCGCGGGUCCCCGUCCCGGGGCUGCGCCCAGAAGAGCCGGGAGACGCGCCGACCCCGAGUUGCGGCACCAGCCCGGCCUGAGCUGCACAAUGUAUGCUCCCAGAAAGGAAGGAAGAGAAACCAGUUGAAUGUGGUUUCUAACUCACCUGGUUCCUGGUGCCUGGAGCCAACACUCCACCUAUAGUCUUUGCUCAAGAAAUAUUUGUGGACAAGUGCCAAGUGACUGUUAACAUGAGGGAAGUGAUUCAAGACAAAGACCCAUUCUGCCAGUGGGCUAUGCUGGGAAUACCAACUAUGCUUGUUACAGAAUGUGCACGGCGACUGCUGACCGGCCUUCCCGAUGCCAGCAAGAGGGUACAGAAGCAAUCUCCCAAGCUUUCCACAACAUUCAAGUGACCAGGCACUUUGACCCCCAUCUUAGGGGCUGCCCCAAAGAAGCUGUGUUCCUACCUCACUUGGUGCCCCUAAGCGGCAGUUCAGACACCAGAGGGUGUAUGACCCUUGUUGAAAUGGAUUUGUCAUAGGUGUGUGCUUUCAAUUGGCGUUUCCCUCCUGUCUUGUUUGAGAAAUCCAAAUCGGUUAAUGCUCCUACCUGCUUCUUUUUGUACAACUUCACAUUCACAGCAGAAUUUCAUUUUGUCCCUCAAUUGUGUGGCUUGCCUUAAUCCUCUGAUAGAGCUUCAAAUGGUUUAUUCCUUAAUUUUUUUUUUUUUUAAGUGACCUGGAGUUUAGCCAGCUCCAGCCAGUCUCUGAGUUUGGCUUUGUGUCCAUAAGCCGCAGUUGGGAGAAACGCAAGAAAUGCCCAAACAGAAUAAAACAAAUGAUCUA